UGGGGAAUAUUGGGCAAUGGGCGCAAGCCUGACCCAGCAACGCCGCGUGAAGGAAGAAGGCUUUCGGGUUGUAAACUUCUUUUCUCAGGGACGAAGAAAGUGACGGUACCUGAGGAAUAAGCCACGGCUAACUACGUGCCAGCAGCCGCGGUAAUACGUAGGUGGCAAGCGUUAUCCGGAUUUACUGGGUGUAAAGGGCGUGUAGGCGGGAGUGCAAGUCAGAUGUGAAAACCACGGGCUCAACCUGUGGCCUGCAUUUGAAACUGUACUUCUUGAGUACUGGAGAGGCAGACGGAAUUCCUAGUGUAGCGGUGAAAUGCGUAGAUAUUAGGAGGAACACCAGUGGCGAAGGCGGUCUGCUGGACAGCAACUGACGCUGAGGCGCGAAAGCGUGGGGAGCAAACAGG
rnacentral:rRNA from 1 species